AUGGCUUUCUCGCAAAGGACUG
rnacentral:snRNA from 1 species